rnacentral:rRNA from 1 species
UACGGAGGGUGCAAGCGUUGUUCGGAUUUACUGGGCGUAAAGCGCGAGCAGGCGGGCAGGCAAGUCCUGUGUGCAAUCUUUCGGCUCAACCGGAAAACUGCAUGGGAAACUACCUGUCUUGAGUGCGAGAGAGGAUGGCGGAAUUCCUGGUGUAGCGGUGAAAUGCGUAGAUAUCAGGAGGAACACCGGUGGCGAAGGCGGCCAUCUGGCUCGACACUGACGCUCAUUCGCGAAGGUCGGGGGAGCAAACAGG